rnacentral:rRNA from 1 species
AUUGAACGCUGGCGGCAGGCUUAACACAUGCAAGUCGAGCGGAGAUGAGGUGCUUGCACCUUAUCUUAGCGGCGGACGGGUGAGUAAUGCUUAGGAAUCUGCCUAUCAGUGGGGGACAACAUUCCGAAAGGAAUGCUAAUACCGCACACGUCCUACGGGAGAAAGCAGGGGAUCUUCGGACCUUGCGCUAAUAGAUGAGCCUAAGUCGGAUUAGCUAGUUGGUGGGGUAAAGGCCUACCAAGGCGACGAUCUGUAGCGGGUCUGAGAGGAUGAUCCGCCACACUGGGACUGAGACACGGCCCAGACUCCUACGGGAGGCAGCAGUGGGGAAUAUUGGACAAUGGGGGGAACCCUGAUCCAGCCAUGCCGCGUGUGUGAAGAAGGCCUUAUGGUUGUAAAGCACUUUAAGCGAGGAGGAGGCUACUGAGACUAAUACUCUUGGAUAGUGGACGUUACUCGCAGAAUAAGCACCGGCUAACUCUGUGCCAGCCGCCGCCGUAACAC